CCUCUUCUUCUUCGGAAGAUGAGGUAACCCGGCGGAUGGCUCAGUAACACGUGGAUAACUUGCCCUUGGGUCUGGGAUAACCCCUGGGAAACUGGGGCUAAUACCGGAUAGAGCAUCGAUCGCUGGAAUGCAUGAUGCUCGAAAACUACGGUGCCCAAGGAUAGGUCUGCGGCUGAUUAGGUUGUUGUUGAUGUAAUGGACCAACAAGCCUACGAUCGGUACGGGUUGUGAGAGCAAUAGCCCGGAGAUGGGUUCUGAGAAAAGAACCCAGGUCCUACGGGACGCAUCAGGCGCGAAAACUUUACAAUGUGCGAAAGCACGAUAAGGGAACUCUGAGUGCCCCCUAAGGGGGCUGUUCUAGUGUCUAAAAAGCAAUAUAAGUAAGGGCUGGGCAAGACCGGUGCCAGCCGCCGCGGUAACACCGGCAGCCCAAGUGGUAGCCACGUUUAUUGGGUCUAAAGCGUUCGUAGCCGGGUUGGUAAGUUCUUUGGUAAAUUUAGCCGCUUAAACGGUUAAACUUUUCAGGAAAUACUGCUUUUGCUUGGGACUGGGGAAAA
rnacentral:rRNA from 1 species